UACGUAGGGGGCAAGCGUUGUCCGGAUUUAUUGGGCGUAAAGAGCGUGUAGGCGGCUAGGUAGGUCCGUUGUGAAAACUCGAGGCUCAACCUCGAGACGUCGAUGGAAACCAUCUAGCUAGAGUCCGGAAGAGGAGAGUGGAAUUCCUGGUGUAGCGGUGAAAUGCGCAGAUAUCAGGAAGAACACCCGUGGCGAAGGCGGCUCUCUGGUACGUGACUGACGCUGAGACGCGAAAAGCGUGGGGGAGCGAACAGG
rnacentral:rRNA from 1 species